rnacentral:lncRNA from 1 species
UACAAUCUAUUAUUUUUUAAAAAGGGCAUACAUAUUCGUGAAACACGAUGUAUACGUUAGUUGAAAAUAUUAUGAUCUGUGAGUAUGCUAAAAAAACAACAAUAUAUAAUUAACGUGGUAACCCUGACAAUUAGAAGAAUGUUUUGGGACAAGAGAAGCAGAGCUGUCAUGACGUUUCAUUAAAUUAUGCAUCUAUGAGAGCUAACUCCACUCCCAGUGAUGUAGGUAGUAAUUACUCCAAUGUCGAUCUUCAAUUCUACUCUAGUCCAACAAGGACUUAGACAGACUUUGUUAUUUUUAACAAAAUCUUUCCUUCAUGACGUCACUCUCGCCCCUUUGUCCAAAGCUCGCCCUCUUUCCUCUGAAAAGGAACCGACUAGUUUUUGUGUUUUUUAAGAAAAAAUUUGAAAAAACACAUGGCAACAAGAAAAUA